UACAGAGGGGGCAAGCGUUGUUCGGAAUUACUGGGCGUAAAGGGCGCGUAGGCGGCCUGCUAAGUCGAACGUGAAAUCCCCGGGCUCAACCCGGGAACUGCGUCCGAUACUGGUGGGCUUGAAUCCGGGAGAGGGAUGUGGAAUUCCAGGUGUAGCGGUGAAAUUCGUAGAUAUCAGGAGGAACACCGGUGGCGAAGGCGGCGACCUGGACCGGUACUGACGCUGAGACGCGAAAGCGUGGGGAGCAAACAGG
rnacentral:rRNA from 1 species